GAUGAACGCUGGCGGCGUGCUUAACACAUGCAAGUCGAACGGAAAGGCUCCUGCUUGCCGGGGUACUCGAGUGGCGAACGGGUGAGUAACACGUGGGUGAACUGCCCUGCACUUCGGGAUAAGACUGGGAAACUGGGUCUAAUACCGGAUAGGACGAUGUUUUGGAUGCCAUUGUGGAAAGUUUUUGCGGUGUGGGAUGAGCUCGCGGCCUAUCCGCUCGUUGGUGGGGUAAUGGUCUACCAACGCGUUGACGGGUAGCCGGCGUGAGAGGGAGUACGGCGACAUUGGGACUGAGAUACGGCCCAGACGCGUACGGGAGGCAGCAGUGGGGAAUAUUGCGCAAUGGGCGCAAGCCUGAUGCAGCGACGCCGCGUGGGGGAUGACGGCCUUCGGGUUGUAAACUCCUUUCGCUAGGGACGAAGCGCAAGUGACGGUACCUGGUGAAGAAGCACCGGCUAACUACGUG
rnacentral:rRNA from 1 species